UACGAAGGGGGCUAGCGUUGUUCGGAUUUACUGGGCGUAAAGCGCACGUAGGCGGAUCUUUAAGUCAGAGGUGAAAUCCCAAGGCUCAACCUUGGAACUGCCUUUGAUACUGGGGAUCUUGAGUCCGGGAGAGGUGAGUGGAACUGCGAGUGUAGAGGUGAAAUUCGUAGAUAUUCGCAAGAACACCAGUGGCGAAGGCGGCUCACUGGCCUGGUACUGACGCUGAGGUGCGAAAGCGUGGGGAGCAAACAGG
rnacentral:rRNA from 1 species